AGAAUCAACGCUGGCGGCGUGCCUAACACAUGCAAGUCGCACGAGAAAGGGUAGCAAUACCUGAGUAAAGUGGCGCACGGGUGAGUAACACGUGAAUGAUCUACCUCCGAGUGGGGAAUAACUGAGAGAAAUCUUAGCUAAUACCGCAUAACACUUACGAGUCAAAGCAGCAAUGCGCUUGGAGAGGAGUUCGCGGCCGAUUAGUUAGUUGGCGGGGUAAUGGCCCACCAAGACGAUGAUCGGUAUCCGGCCUGAGAGGGCGCACGGACACACUGGAACUGAAACACGGUCCAGACUCCUACGGAGGCAGCAGUGGGGAAUUUUGCGCAAUGGGGGAAACCCUGACGCAGCAACGCCGCGUGGAGGAUGAAAUAUCUUGGUAUGUAAACUCCUUUCGAUGGGGAAGAUUAUGACGGUACCCAUAGAAGAAGCCCGGCUAACUUCGCGCCAGCAGCCGC
rnacentral:rRNA from 1 species